UGAAAAAAUUAUUGAUCCCUCUUUCAGGGGCGGAUUCAGGAAUUUGGGGGCCCUGGGCAGGCACAGGGUCCUCCAUAUCCUUUUUAUUCUACGCUGUGUCUGAAAUGAACCACUCAAUCCCUAACACCCAUAUGAGAUUUUACUAUGUAGUUGACGAAGUAGUGAACUCAGUCACCGGUGGUUUCGGACACCACAUGGCAAGACGCAAUGCACGACGGGAUGCCCACCACCGGUGAGUGACCAUCGGUGCUUUAUGGGAAAUUUUAAGUGACCUAUUUGGGGCAUUGGAAUUGAUCACUGAGGUUUUCGGACACUCCUCAAAAUGGUGCUAACCCCCAUGUAGUCACAUAUAUAGGAGUUUGAAUCCAUUUCGGACACAGCCCUAGGGAUGCACUGAUUGUGAAAUUCUGGGCCAAUAUUGAUGUUUAAAAUAAUAGUUUGGCUGAUAGCUGAUGCGGAUGUUUGUUUGUUUUUCAUUUUGGUAUUUUUUGUUAUUAAUUUGCCCUUUUUUCAAGGAAAACAAAAAAAAAAUCUCUAUGACUUAAAAUAACUGAACUGUCUUUUAAGGUCCUUACACACUGGGGCCGACGUGAAUAUAGAACGCGAAAUAACGAAAUACUCGGAGGUAAAUUUUGACGCGCCUGACGAUACACAUCAAGCCUGAUGUGAUUUUGCGACUUUUUCAUGUAGAUGUUUGACCUGGCUCCAAGGACUACUACUUUCCAAAAAAAUAUUACAGGAAAAUUCUGAUAGAGAUAAAGACUUUGGACCUCUAUUUCUUUUUGCUACUUCACUGAUACUUUGCAUUCUUCCCUUCCUUACUUCACUAAUAUCAAAGUACCUGCUGAUUUAUCUUUAAUGAAGGAGCCAAGAUUUAAGAUAUGAAUUAACUGUUUUGAACUUCCUGGUGGAGUAGAAUUGCCCUGUUGUGUAGUAAGCAAAAGUGCACAUAAUACAGUAUGUACUGUAUAUUUGAAGAAUGGGGGCUUUUACUUUUUAAUAAUGAGACAUAAGAGGUGUAAUACUUUAAUUUAGUACUUUUAUUUUUGAUUUACUCUAUUGCAGUAUGAUUACCACAGGAAGAUCUACAUGGCCCCUUUAAUCUGUAUAUGUUGAUUGUGAUAACAUAACUAUUGCACUCCCAUAAAAAAAACAAACUAUAUUGGAAACAGUCCCUUUGAUUGCUUUUGCCUACAUUUUUUUUCUUUUCCUUGCCAAUUUGUGUCUAAAUGAAUGGUAAAAACUAGAAAUGUCCUUCCUUGUUAUUCUAAACAAAUGUUUUAUUAAUUUUGACUAAAGUUCCCAUGUUUGUCCAGCAGAUGGCAAUAUUGAGCCAUGCUGAACAGACAGUCUUCUGUAGUCAAGCAAAGGUCGAGUCUUUUGCAUUUUGCAGUACUUCUUAUCACAGGAAUGACUAUUGAUGGGAAAUUAACCCUUUCUUUUCUCUGUAUCCUCCAGGCACCAGAAGAGGAGGGCCAUCUCACUGACACAAAACUGAUUUGGGUGGACUUUGGUGUCUGCUUUAGUAAGAUAUAUACAUCAGAGGUAUGAAAGAUGCAGCAGUCAGUGACCGAGGACAUACUGUUCUGGCUUACCUCACCAACAUCUAACAAUUUUUAAUGCUGUGGUGCUGCACAUUGAUCAUAAUACACUCUUAAUUACUGCAGGUAUUGUGGUUUCAUGGGUCAACAGGUAACAUGGGAC
rnacentral:lncRNA from 1 species